rnacentral:rRNA from 1 species
UACAGAGGCCUCGAGCGUUAGGCGGAAUCACUGGGCUUAAAGCGUGUGUAGGCGGGUUGGUAAGUACUUUGUGAAAUCCCACGGCUCAACUGUGGAAUUGCUUAGUAUACUGCCGAUCUUUGAGUCAUUUAGGGGCAGCCGGAACAGAUGAUGGAGCGGUGAAAUGCGUAGAUAUCAUCUGGAACGCCAAUGGUGCAGACAGGCUGCUGGGGAAUGAAACUGACGGCUGAGG